UACGAAGGGGGCUAGCGUUGCUCGGAAUCACUGGGCGUAAAGGGUGCGUAGGCGGGUCUUUAAGUCGGGGGUGAAAUCCUGAGGCUCAACCUCAGAACUGCCUUCGAUACUGGCAAUCUCGAGUCCGGAAGAGGUUGGUGGAACAGCUAGUGUAGAGGUGAAAUUCGUAGAUAUUAGCUAGAACACCAGUGGCGAAGGCGGCCAACUGGUCCGGUACUGACGCUGAGGUGGCGAAAGCGUGGGGAGCAAACAGGG
rnacentral:rRNA from 1 species